UUUUUGGUUAACAUAUUUAGUUAAAAUAUCAUUUCAUAAAAUAUUUUUACACAGUAUUUUACAGUAAAAAAAGUUAAUGUUUUCAUCGGAUUCUCAAAGAUUUGUCUUAUGUGAAAGUUAUGCACAUUAUAAUGAAGAUAAUGGUAUUUUAGACGAAAUCCGACAUAUAAAAUGCCCUAUUAUAAAAUUAGUACGCAGACAGAUUGAAAGUGCCGAAAAUUCUAUAUGUGAUGGUCUCAGGUUAGCUAGAUGCAAUAGAACGUGGAAGUACAAGUUAUGGAAAAACCGAUGGUCAGUUUUGAAAUGGGUGUUCACUAUUUUGAUCAUGGUGAGUUUAUUUAUCUAUGGAGCUCUGAUUGGCGCAGGCCUAUGUUCUUGCAGUACGUCACACCCAUGUGCAGGAUCCUUUUCGAUAUUUCCUGGAUUUAAAUUGCCGAAAAGACAUAAUUUUAUAUACUAAACUCUAUUAAAUAUAUUAAAAAUAUAAUUUUACAGUUA